GGGGGUGGGAAGGAGGGAGGAGAGGAGGAGAAAAAAAAUAAAACACUUUUGGUUGAGGUUUUCCUGUUACUAUCACUGUAGCGUUUAUUUAGCCAAUCUCCUAACUGUGACGUGAGGAAGGCAGGAAUCAUGGCUCGCUCAUAAUAUUUAACACACCCACUGGAAGCUGGAGCUGCAGAGCUACCCGUCCAACCCGUCUCCAGAACCCAGUGUGGCUGAAAGAGUUGUGCCAUCCGACAGUUUUGCAGCCAAAAAAACCCAACCCACGCCAAAGGCAAAGCGCAGCUCGGAUACAGCAGCCACCCCGGCUGGAUCUCAGCUGAGCGCUCAUCUCUCCCGAGCGGCGGACAAAGCGAUGGAUGAAGGAACUGGAACCGCUCGGAGAAAAUGAUUUUGCAGCCAAUGUUCUUAAGCAGUCUCACAGAAGAGAGGGAGAGAGCGGAGAGCGCUUCUGCUGCAUCACUGGGCGCAUUCAAAGGAAGGAGUCAGCGUUUCCUGCACUGCCAAACGUUAUGGAUGAUUUUUUCCUUCUGUCGCCUUUCCGUACAGGUUUUCUUAAUAUUCUUCUCCCCCCCUCCUUCCCGUCGUUUUUUGAACGAUGAUGAUUUAAUCGCAGCCAGCCUCAGACGCCGGUUUCUCCUCCAGAAACAGCUCUCCCUAUUUGUUGUGAUCCCCGUAAUAAAAAGCGAGAGAAACCGCGAA